ensembl:lncRNA
CAUAUAGUUUUGUAAUAAUUCUAUGAGUAUCUCAUGAUCUAUGGUGUUGAACGCAAUAAGAUCAAGUAAAACUAGCAAUGAGACAGCCUUGGUCUGACACAAGAAGCAAGUCAUUUGUCAUUUUAACAAGUGCAGUUUCUGUGCUAUGGUGGGGCCUGAAACCUGACUGGAAUUCUUCAUAGAGCUCUUUUUACUUGUGAUAAGUUUAUUUAGCUCUUCCUGUCCUAUAGCUGUAAAGCACUGCAGUUUAUCUUUGGGUGCAAUGAAUGAAGCUGAAGUGUAGAAAAGGCCCCAAAGUUAUGUUAGAGUUGCUAUUAUUUAGUACAGUUGACCAUAAUGUGCUUUAUGUUUCACUUUUACUCCCGUUUAUUCAGUGCUUGUAAUAGGGUAGCAAAAGCGUGCGCUAGUUUGUAUAUUAUAUCUGACGUCACGCAGUAGUAUGCAGUACGAUAGAGAUGGUCAGUCGGUUGUCACGCAGUUAGUAUUCAGGAUGAUAGAGAGCAUCGGUCGGUUAGAUUAUAAUUGUGAGUGACACUUUCCUCAGCGUGUGCGUGAAUGAGAAAAGUAAGUAAAUCUGCUGCAUUACUCGUAAUAUUGUAUUUCUUUGACAGCUGUUAUUUCUGAUAUUCGAUAUGGAUGAGAGUUAGGAGUUUAGGGGUCGUUACACGACCGUUGUGUUAAUUAUAUCCACGUUCGUACGUUACUUUCUAGCUUCGGUCCACCUGACUCAGUACGUCGGGUUAAAUGGGUCACAUCGUGUUUAGACAUGUUUAUACUUUAUUCAAUACUUGUUGUUAUGAAUGUUAAGUACUCUGUGGCUGAGUAAAAUAUGAAGUGGUGUUAAAUAUCAUUAUCUGGACCGCUAUUGAUGCUUUAAAGUAUAUCAUAGAUGACAAAACCACACUCGAAAUUACACUCACCUUUAAACUCACUCAUACAAGAAAGAGGAGGAAUAAACAGAAUAAUAAGAAUUAUCUCUCCGCUCUUCAUUUCAUACUCUGGAAUAUUUGGCCUUAAGUGGUGUUCUGGCCGACACACCUGAGUGAACCUGGUGAUAAACCCAGAAUUAGCACCUAGACUGAGCGUCUACCCAUUAUCUUCACUUCAUAUACAUA